AGAGAAUUAUGCCAAAGAAAAAGCUUCUAACUUUUAACUUGAGUGGUUAAAUUCCAUUCGUUUCUU
rnacentral:tRNA from 1 species